AUCAGUAUUAUCUGCAAAGGAGCAUCAGGAACCACAACAAAAAGCCUCAUAAGUUGAGCAUAAUGUGGCUUCAGCCCUCUGCCCUGCGACGAGGACAGGAUGUACAGGGGCAUGUCACUGUUGAGGGCUUUUAAAGCCGACUCCUUGGGUCCACUUCCCAUCACUUUCAUUACUUUGUCAGGCCCUGAGCACAUGAACCUCCGACCUCGAGAGUCUUCAUACUCAAAGCCAACAAAGGCUCGAGCUAUGUCAUCCCUCCGCCUUCCUCUGCCCAUCACAACUGCACUUCUCUUCCCAGGAAUAGCUUUAUUUGGAGCAGGCCAGGAGUUCGUGUCUAAGUCUCCUUCAUCUUCAGCUCUAGUCCUGAUGACAAUGUCCCAAGGCAUAAGAUAGUUUGUUCCUGGAACGAAGCCCUGUUGGUCCAAACCUGUAUGAAAGUUGUAAGACUUGGCUGGGCCUAGUUUAACCAAAGACCAGCUGGAGAAUUUGGGUAGGAGACCUUUGGGGCAAUUUGAAUGUAGCAUGCCUGGGAGAUAUUCAACUGUGGAUGCCUGACGGUCAACCAAGUUUGGUCUCUUCUCAGACUUUCCUUCUCCUUGCCCGUGGACUUCUGGGUUGUCUCCUCCUGCCUGUGGAUCAGCGGGGUAUUCUGCUAUGGAGAAUAUUCAGUCAUUAAGAG
rnacentral:lncRNA from 1 species